ensembl:lncRNA
CUCGCUUAAGAUUGAUGUAAUAAUAAUAAUCAUCAUCUACUGGAGCUGAUAUGCUUAAUCCAUUUCUGCUGCAGCUCUCUGCCCCCCUAACGAUUAUAUCUAGUACUAUCCCCAAGGUUUGGAAGGAGGCCCAGGUACUCCCCCUAACUACGAUGAUAUCUAGUACUAUCCCCAAGGUUUGGAAGGAGGCCCAGGUACUCCCCCUAACUACGAUUAUAUCUAGUACUAUCCCCAAGGUUUGGAAGGAGGCCCAGGUACUCCCCCUAACUACGAUUAUAUCUAGUACUAUCCCCAAGGUUUGGAAGGAGGCCCAGGUACUCCCCCUAACUACGAUUAUAUCUAGUACUAUCCCCAAGGUUUGGAAGGAGGCCCAGGUACUCCCCCUAACGAUUAUAUCUAGUACUAUCCCCAAGGUUUGGAAGGAGGCCCAGGUACUCCCCCUAAUGAUUAUAUCUAGUCCUAUCCCCAAGGUUUGGAAGGAGGCCCAGGUACUCCCCUAAUGAUUAUAUCUAGUACUAUCCCCAAGGUUUGGAAGGAGGCCCAGGUACUCCCCUAACCUGACGAUUAUAUCUAGUACUAUCCCCAAGGUUUGGAAGGAGGCCCAGGUACUCCCC